GCCGGCUUAGCUUAGUGGCAGUAGCGAUUCGCUCGUAACGAAUAGGUCGUCAGUUCAAUUCUGACAGUCGGCA
rnacentral:tRNA from 1 species